CUUUCAUCUUCACAUCCUGAGUUUUGCGUCUCCAUCUCCAGGGCUGCUUUCGGGGCAACAACACGUUGCGGCCAGCUACAAUGACAUGUCUGUGGUGAUUUAUCAGAACAUGGGGCCCUCAGCUGCCCUCGCCAAUGACCCCCCCAAAGUCCUGCCCCCUUACCAGGAUACCCAGACCCCCUGAGCCGUGCCCUAUGCCAGCUGCCAGCCAACCCCAACCAUUGCGAGCUGCUGCUGGCCCUUGAGUGGCCCCCAGGGGGCAGCGCAGCAUCUUGGCCAGCACCAUGGAUAGUGACGACCAGGACUUGCUCUGGAUGGUGCCAUCUACACUAAUGGUGUGACAGCUUCCUUCUGCGGAUUGAGAGAGACAGCGUGAGACUGCAGCGUGGCAAAUACAGCUUCUUUCUUUCUUUCUUCUCCCCUGCUGACAGGAUCUGAUUCCUCUCUGCUGCAGAUUUGCCCCUGAUCUCCCCACACCCAAUAAACGUGUUCCAUAUGAACGACCA